UUUGGAAAAUGAUGCUAGAUAAGUCAGAUGUUGUUUCUGAGAAGCAGUAGCCCUUUGCACUGUCUUUGCUGAAUAAUUUGCACGUCAGUCUGAUUCCAAA